rnacentral:tRNA from 1 species
GAGGGUGUAGCUCAGGGGUAGAGCAUAUGCCUAGCACGCACAAGGUCCUGGGUUCAAUCCCCAGUCCCUCU